rnacentral:rRNA from 1 species
UUAAGCAUAUCAAUAAGCGGAGGAAAAGAAACUAACAAGGAUUCCCCUAGUAACUGCGAGUGAAGCGGGAAGAGCUCAAAUUUAAAAUCUGGCGUGCCUCUGGUCGUCCGAGUUGUAGUCUGGAGAAGCGUUUUCCGUGUUGGACCGUGUAUAAGUCUCUUGGAACAGGGCGUCAUAGAGGGUGAGAAUCCCGUCUUUGACACGGACUACCAAUGCUUUGUGAUGCGCUCUCAAAGAGUCGAGUUGUUUGGGAAUGCAGCUCAAAAUGGGUGGUAAAUUCCAUCUAAAGCUAAAUAUAGGCGAGAGACCGAUAGCGAACAAGUACCGUGAGGGAAAGAUGAAAAGCACUUUGGAAAGAGAGUUAAACAGUACGUGAAAUUGCUGAAAGGGAAACGCUUGAAGUCAGUCAUGUCUGCCAGGACUCAGCCUUGCUUCUGCUUGGUGCACUUUCUGGUUUGAUGGGCCAACAUCAAUUCUGACCGUUGGAGAAAGGCAUUGGGAAUGUGGCACCUUUGGGUGUGUUAUAGCCCUUUGUUGUAUACAACGGUUGGGAUUGAGGACUGCAGCAUGCCUUCAUGGCCGGGGUUCGCCCACGUAC